UACGUAGGGUGCAAGCGUUGUCCGGAAUUAUUGGGCGUAAAGAGCUCGUAGGCGGUUUGUCGCGUCUGCUGUGAAAUCCCGAGGCUCAACCUCGGGCCUGCAGUGGGUACGGGCAGACUUGAGUGCGGUAGGGGAGAAUGGAAUUCCUGGUGUAGCGGUGGAAUGCGCAGAUAUCAGGAGGAACACCGAUGGCGAAGGCAGUUCUCUGGGCCGUAACUGACGCUGAGGAGCGAAAGCGUGGGGAGCGAACAGG
rnacentral:rRNA from 1 species